UUUAAGCUAUAUCGUAUUGACUCCUAUAGGCACAUGUAUAACCCAUUGUUCCGCAUUUGCUUUCGAUGUGUGCUUAUUCUAGUUUCAUUCCUUUGGAUAUUGAAUUCUUCUAACCUUCUUAUUUGAAUUGAGCUAAAUAUGAUUGCUUGGAUUCCCUGUAUACUCUUGCUUCCAUUUCAUUCCUAAUAUGAAUACAUUUGUGAGAGAUUUGUUCCUUGCAGCAUAUUGUCUUGAAAAGGCACAUGUACGUUUUGUUGUUCCGCGUGUGCUUCCGAUAUAUGCUACUUAUUGUUAAAACUGCCCUCUUGUACUCUGGUGUGUGGGAUUGUCUGGACCUUUGCCAGAAAUGGUAAAGGGUAUGUGCUUAUUGCCCGCUCUGUGGGAUAUUCUGGACCUUUGCUAGAAAUGGUAAAGGGUAUGUGCUUAGAGCCUGCGAUGCUCUGCCGGCCCCCUCUGACUUCACCUAGACGUGGGUGGAUGGAGCUCCCAGACGUGGGAGACUUUUGUCAGGUGGUCAUUUAGAAAUGGAUGAAUCACAUUCUGACUGAGAUCCCACUACACCUUCUGUAUGUUUGAUAUGAUAUCCAGAGCUUUGGUUAUGUGUUUCUGUACAUGCUUUGGAUAAGAUUGAUAUGUUUGCAACGCCAAAGACGACGUUUGAGCUUCUGUACGGUAUUUGUUAUUGAUAUGCUCUGAAAUGUUUCGUCCACUAUUGAUAUGUUUCGAAAUGUUCCAUAUGCCGUUGAUAUGCUCCGGAACAUUUCAUACGCCAUUGAUAUGCUCCAAUUACUCUGUGCUCCAUUUGCUAUGAACUGAUAUGUUCUGAAAUGUCCUAUCUGCCAUUGAUAUGCUCCAAUUACUCUGUGCUCCAUUUGCUAUGAACUGAUAUGUUCUGAAAUGUCCUAUCUGCCAUUGAUAUGCUCCAAUUACUCUGUGCUCCAUUUGCUAUGAACUGAUAUGUUCUGAAAUGUCCUAUCUGCCAUUAAUAUGCUCCAAUUACUCUAUGCUCCAUUCGUUAUGGAUCAAAUAUGUUUGAAUGACAUGAUACGUAUGAUUUUGUAUCUAAUGAGAUGGUAUCCUUGAGAAUUCUUGUAUUCUGCCUUGCAUUAUGAUACCUUACUUGUUUGAAAUCGUUCUUUUUAUUCUGAAUAUGCUUUGUCACUUGCUGAGCCAUUUUUGGCUCACUCCGUUGUUAUAUAAAUCUUUCAGGUCAGCUUGUCACUCUUCGAGAUGUUUGAUUUGGGCUGAGGCAGUGGAUAGCUAUUCAGAAUUAUGGGCAAGUCUGGUUGGUUAUUAUGAUAUUGUUGUAUAAGUAUGUUUUGUAUGUAAUGAAAUGUUGUCGAUGAACCGAAAUGGAUAUACUGUGUCAAAGUGUUAGGAGAUCUCUCUUAUUUGGAAUUUCAAAAUGUUAAGUCUAAUUUAUGAUGAUACGAACUUGUGGUGAAUAGUUGGAGUUCUGAUUGUAUAAAUUACUUAGCUUGUGGAUUUAUAAAUGUUGUUCAUGUUUGUUAAGUUGGCUUGGGUUGCCAUAAAUGUGAAUUAUCGAGUGAUGUGAUAUAUGAUUAUAAAUUGUACAGGUUUUAUAGAAUGUUUUUCAGUGUCUUCAAACGUUAGUUUGGAUCCUGGAUUGGUCUGUGACGAAAAUUUUAAAAAUCAUGGAUAUUUUGAGGGGCGUGACACAAGGACGUAUACGAUUUUCUCCGCUGUGAGAACAAUUCUCAAGUUACGGAGCCAAUCCGUAUAAUUUGGACCAGUGAGGCGGUUGACAUCAAGUAUGCCACGUAAGGGAUUUGAAAGUGACAUUUUCUGAAAAUAAAGAUGCAGC
rnacentral:lncRNA from 1 species